GGCAGGGGAUGGGCAGCCUUGCCGGCUUCUAGCCCAGCGGCCCCGGGGCCUGGGAGCUACCGGUCUGUCCAGCGCCUCUUUUGUGUCGGCUCCUCACGCAGCCGGCUUGCGUCCCCCGAUCGUUGCCCGCGCCCCCGGCACUGGCAACGUGGGCUAUGGCCACGGAUUUGUGCCACGGAAGGGCAGGAAGUGAUAGUCCCAAGGCUCCAAGCAGAUGGGCGAUUGCAAGAGCCAAAUUUCGAAAGCUUCUCUCUUCCUUUUUCUUUCAGUUCUGCUUCCGGCCACCCACCAUCCCAGCACACACUUCAGGGACGCCUUCGGUUUCCCCUGGGCUCUCUCAUGGUUUUUUGGGUUGCCUUCUGGAAUCUAUGCUGCCCUAGUCGUUUCUCGGGCGUGUCCAGGCUUGGGAGAGGGAGCCAGGGGCCCAGAGAAGCCUGCCUCUUGCCUGCUGGCCUUGACCUCACGCGUAGCCCAGGACAUGGUCUCUCCUGGGCCUCCUGCUCAGGUCUGGCUCCAGCUGAAUCCCGUCCAGCCCCAUCCUGGCGUUCGGUGGCUUUCACAGACCAGGCUUUGGCCUCACGUCCCCUCUCUGGGCAUCUGGUCCCAAAUCGUCCCCGGAUGAUGAACACCGCGAAAUAUUCAGGACAGUUCAGCUGUUGAUAAUGUUUUGCAACCAAGGAGCAAGAUAUUAGCCCACUUGUGGGUGUGUACAGAGGUGUCAGAAAGAAACUUCCACUUGGGGACAGAAGAGCCAAAAAAAAAAAAAAAAAGAAGAAGAAGAAGAAGAAGAAGAAGAAGAAGAAGAAGAAGAAAAAGAAAAAGAGUGCUCCCCUGACCAGUGAGGAGUGGAACGGGCAGCUUUCCCAGGUUCUGCUGGCCCAGGCUUGGGGCCUGAAGUGUAUGCCCUGCCUGCCCACUCAAGAGGUAAUUAAGAGCUGAUUGCUGGUAAUUAAGAGUUGCUGAGAGAGGCAGCAGGAUCCAAAAAGGAGACGCACUCGUUUUGUCUUCCUGUGGACAGGCUCCUGGCGCCCGCCCCUCCCCCUCCGCUGCCCCCUCCCGCGGGGACGUGGGCCCUGGAGAGCAAGUCACAGCCCGUCCGCGGGAGUAUCUGUGUGUACGCUGUGCUCCGACUUCCUGCCGUCCUGUCAUUCCCCGGGCCUUGAGUGAAGGCUCUGCCGAGCGGGUUGGAGUCCUGGAGUCCUAAUCUCCUGACGCUCAGCUGCGCAGAGAUGUAGCUUUCCCGUAGUUGUCCCGGACCGCAGUCUUAACGGGCUCUUGAGCCCCCGUUGGAGCCGGUGGUGCACAACGUGAACUUGCCAAGUCAAGGAAGCAGCCAUUUCACACUUAAGUCAUGGUCACUCCGAGGCCGCCGCUGUCCCCUCCGGACUUCCUCUUGCCCUCUCUGCCCUGGUGUGAGCCGCGGCCCUGGGCUUUUGGGGGGGUGGGCAGGAGGGAGCCCCAGGCCGUCCUGGCCCUGAGCCACGGACGUGUGUCCACGUGCUGCCCUGUGUCCUGCCCCAGCCACCGGGCUCGCUGGCCUCGGAUGAGUUGUGCGUGUCCCUCGUGGACUAGAACACGAACCCCGAUGCCCCGGGUGGCCACAGCCUCGGGGCCAGAGGCCCCGCAUGCUGCUGCCCCACACGUUCCCGCUGGGACUCUUCGGUUGUGGCUUCUGGGUGCCGUGGGGGCUCGGGCGCUGUUGGCUGCUCUCUCCGCCGUGCUGGGGUGUGCAGGAGCCAGGCCGCUCUUGGGACCACCGCCGAGGCCCCUUAACCACGGCGACUUCACCUUCGUGGCUCCAUGCCAAGUGUGGACUUCUCUCGAGGACAUGACGUUUUCCCCUGCUGGCUGUACUGGAGCAGGUCCCCCCCCCCCCGCCCCCGCCCCGCCCUGCCCUUCUCCAUUUUUUAAACUUCUCCGGGGUUUCUGGGCCUCCCCCUUCCCUUGUACCAUGCCUGUCCGAGCCCUCAGUUGGCACGGAGUCCUUUUUUGCUCUCUCUCUUUCUUCCUUUCUUAGUUCAUUUAUUUGUUUUCAGAGAGACAGAG